rnacentral:rRNA from 1 species
AGAACGAACGCUGGCGGCAGGCUUAACACAUGCAAGUCGAACGCCCCGCAAGGGGAGUGGCAGACGGGUGAGUAACGCGUGGGAAUCUACCUGGUUCUACGGAAUAACUGAGGGAAACUUCAGCUAAUACCGUAUACGCCCCAAGGGGGAAAGAUUUAUCGGUGCCAGAUGAGCCCGCGUUGGAUUAGCUAGUUGGUGGGGUAAUGGCCUACCAAGGCGACGAUCCAUAGCUGGUCUGAGAGGAUGAUCAGCCACACUGGGACUGAGACACGGCCCAGACUCCUACGGGAGGCAGCAGUGGGGAAUAUGGACAAUGGGCGAAGCCUGAUCCAGCCAUGCCGCGUGAGUGAUGAAGGCCUUAGGGUUGUAAAGCUCUUUCAGUGGGGAAGAUAAUGACGGUACCCACAGAAGAAGCCCCGGCUAACUUCGCGCCAGCAGCCGC